UACGGAGGGUGCGAGCGUUAAUCGGAAUUACUGGGCGUAAAGGGUGCGUAGGUGGUUUAUUAAGUUAUCUGUGAAAUUCCUGGGCUUAACCUGGGCAGGUCAGAUAAGACUGAUGAACUCGAGUAUGGGAGAGGGUAGUGGAAUUUCCGGUGUAGCGGUGAAAUGCGUAGAGAUCGGAAGGAACACCAGUGGCGAAGGCGGCUACCUGGCCUAAUACUGACACUGAGGCACGAAAGCGUGGGGAGCAAACAGG
rnacentral:rRNA from 1 species